rnacentral:rRNA from 1 species
CCUACGGGAGGCAGCAGUGGGGAAUUUUCCGCAAUGGGCGAAAGCCUGACGGAGCAAUACCGCGUGAGGGAGGAAGGCUCUUGGGUUGUAAACCUCUUUUCUCAGGGAAGAAAAAUGACGGUACCUGAGGAAUAAGCAUCGGCUAAACUCUGUGCCAGCAGCCGCGGUAAUACAGAGGAUGCAAGCGUUAUCCGGAAUGAUUGGGCGUAAAGCGUCCGCAGGUGGUUUUAUAUGUCUGCUGUUAAAUAGUUAGGCUUAACCUAAUAAAGGCGGUGGAAACUAUAAGACUAGAGUACGUUCGGGGUAGAGGGAAUUCCCAGUGUAGCGGUGAAAUGCGUAGAGAUUGGGAAGAACACCAGUGGCGAAGGCGCUCUGCUAGGACUGUACUGACACUGAGGGACGAAAGCUAGGGGAGCGAAUGGGAUUAGAUACCCCAGUAGUCCUAGCCGUAAACGAUGGAUACUAGGCGUUGUNUGUAUCGACCGACGAGUGCGUACGACUACGUACGUACGUACUCCGUCCGUCGGUAGUACGCGAGACGACGUACGUAGAACGUACGAAAGUAGAAGUUAGACGGACGUGUAGACGUUGCGACGACGACGACGAGGGAGGAGG